AUGCGUCGUCUCUUCAGCAUGAGCGACCUCGGGCUGCUUGGGUACUACCUCAGGCUAGAGGUGAACCAAGAGGAUAGCCACAUCAUGAUCACGCAGGCGGCCUACAACACGAAGAUGCUCAAGCGAGCAGGCAUGAAGGACUAUCAUGUCGUUCACGCUCCAAUGGAGGCACGGCUGAAACUCGGCAAGGAUAGCUCCGAGAAGGCAGUGGAUGCUACGCUCUACCACAACAUCAUCGGGAGCCUCAGGUACCUCAUAUACACCCGACUGGACAUCACAUUCAUUGUCGGGUACCUGGGUAGGUCCAUGGAAGCUUCGGCAAGCAAUAAUCUAACUGUAGUAAAGCACCUACUCCGGUACAUCGCGGGUACACUCACGCAUGGAUGCGUUUGUCGUCGUGGCAACGACGAGAGUUUGGUCAUCUAUAGCGACAUAGGCCAGGCUGGUGACGUGGACUCCCGAAAGAGCACCUCUGGCAUACUAUCCUCGGGAGCAGUCCCAUCGGCUGGCAAUUGA
rnacentral:rRNA from 1 species